rnacentral:lncRNA from 1 species
CUAAUAGACAACUAUGGAGAAAAAUAAUUGCAAUAAAUGGACACAGAGAGACGUGUAAGGUUCAAUCUAAUGGCUAAGUUCAUACUUCACUUUUUUUCAGAUCUAUAAACAUAUUAAUAUAUAAACACUUAAAAAUGAUUGUUCAUUUUUAUUUUGUGUUUUGAAAUGAGUGGCAGCUUUGGCAUGUGGGUUGAAGAUGGUGUUUUUAGGGUGUAGCAGCUGCAAGAUCUUGUCAGAAAUUUAAAACAUGUAUGAUGAUAUGAUCAUGUGAUGAUAAGAAAGGCAAGGAAAAGACUGAAGUAAUCGAGAGAGAAGUGCUGAGAAAAUGACUCACUUUCUCAAGCACUAAAAUGGAUACGAAACUUCCCAAGGAUUCUCCUCCUUAUAUAGAAUCAAAGCUCCCUCAGGUAAUUAUUAGAAUUAUCACCACUCAAAUCACAAUCACGUGUGUUUUACUUUGAACACUGAUAAAACAUUUAUCAGAGAAAAAUUAUACUUUCACAUGUUUCUCUUAUUUUUGUUUUAUAACUAUUUUUAAUAAUAAAAUAUUAUAUUUACUUAAUAAAAGUAAAUAUAAACAAAAUUUUGAAAUAAUAAUAAUAAUAAUAUAUUUGAUAAUAUAAAAUAUGUGUGAAAAUAUCAUCUUUUUGACACCCAAUCAAUUAUAAUAAUACAAUAAUAUUUUUCAUUAAAAAUAAAAUAAAUAUAAUUAAAAUAAUAAUUAAUUAAGUCGUGAAGUUUAUGUACUUUAUGUGUAUAGUGUUGUGUUUGGUGUUAGGACCUUGAUACUUUGAUACUCCAAAAACACAUUCUUAACAUACAAAUAAAAUAAUAUUUUAAUAAUUUUUAUUUUUAUUUUUAAUUUAAAAUUAUUAUAAUAUUAUUAUAAAGGAUUGUUGAAUAGUGUUAUUUACUGUGUGGAAUGUCGACAAAAACAUUUCAUUGGUGUUAAAGUAUCACUUAUCAAAUCAAAUGUAGUACUAUAAUACAAAGUGGUUAUAUGUCAACAUUACAAACAGUUGAUAAAUUAAUAAAAUAAUAUUUAAUAUAUUUUUAAAUUUUAAAUAUUAUUAUAUUAUCCUUUUUUUGUCAUAAAAGGAAAAUAUUUUUUGACACUUAAAUUUUAUUUUAACACCCAAUCAAUUAUAAUAAUAUAAUAAUAUUUUUAAUUAAAAUAAAAUUAAUAUAAUUAAAAUAAUAAUUUAUUAGAAUGUGAAGUGUAUGUAUUUUAUAUGUAUACUGUUAUGUAUGGUGUUAAAGUAUCAUUAUUUGUUGUGGAUAGCAAUUUUUUUACUCUAGUAUAUAAUCAUAUUUUUUUCUAAAAUUUUAAUUUUUAUAUGAAAUGAUAAAAGUUUUUUUUUAUAUCAUUAAAUUGAAGAUUAUAUAGAAUAACAGGUUGUCAAUAUAUAAUUAUAUAUUGUUCUUUCUUGAAUCAAAUGCAGCACUAAUCUGUUAGACUUGUUGCACAUUGAUACAUUGAUUAAACACUGCGCUUUCUUGUACCUUCUCUCAGGCUAUUACACAUAUCUUAUUGGAAAAUAUUUUCAAAAAGUUAUUACAAUCCAAUUUAAUAAUAUAACAAUAUAUAUUAAAAAAUUAAAUCAAAAAAUAUUAUUAUUUGAAUUUAUCAAAAUGACCUUUUUAUUUUAUUUGGUAAUACUUUAUUUGGAUUAGAAAAAAAAUAAGAAAGAAAAGUUGUUUGAAUUAAGAUAUAAAAAGUCCAUAAGAAAAGUUUAUUGAAGUUAUAAAAAAUUAGAAAUACAGUAAAUUUUAAUAUAUUAAAAAAAAUUAUCCAUAAUAUAUUUAGAUAUAAAAAGUAAUAUUAUUUUAUAUUUACAUUUUUAUUAAAUUAUAAUAUUAUUAUAUAAAUUAAUAUUUUUAUUAUAAAUAACUAUAUUAUUAUUAAUUAUUUUAAUUAUAUUAAUAAUAUUUUGAAAUAUUUAAUGAUAUAAAUUUAUUUAAUAUUUAAUAUUAUUUUAUUUAUAUGAUAUUAUAUAUUUGAUAUUUUUUUUAUACCGUUGUACAAAUGUAAUGAAAGAAAAUCACUUAUCUUUCUUAUUGUUUUUUGGUAAUAUAGGAGGAAACAUUUUCAUCAAUCUCUUCAAUACAAAUCAAUUAAAUCAAAUAAAAUAAUAUUUACUAUUUUGCAUGCGUAUCUUCCUAAAAACAAGCAUUACUUAAAUGUGAAAAUAUCACCACACUAUUUUAUAUGUUUCUCUCUCAUUUUCAUUAAACUUAUGGAAAAAAUCUCUUUCACCCUCACCCUCUAUAUUUUAUUUACAUCACUUAACUUAUGCAAAAUCUCUUUGACACUUUAUAUUUUUAUCUAGAUUCAUUUAAGAAAUGCUUUUUAAUAAUAAAAUAUUAUAUUAAAAUAAUAAAAAUAAAAUAUUACAUUAAAAUAAUAAAAAUAAAAUAUUAUAUUAAAAUAAUAAAAAUAAAUAUUAUAAUAAAAUAAUAAUUUAUAUAAUUGUAAUGCGACAAAAGUGACGGUGAAACUAUCGUCACCAUAAUAAUCUGAUUUUCUUACCGUGAUCCGUGCAUGUAAGAAAAUGUUAUUUUAUUAAGUACUUUAUACAAUCAUUUUUAUGUUUUACUGAGGUUUGGUAAAAAGUGGAUGUUACUAAAGUUCACUUCAUUUUUAUUAUUAUUAAUUAUAAUUAUUAUAUAUGUUAUUAACGUAGGAGGAUUCAAAACCAAGUUGUUCUCAUUUAUAUCAUUUAACUAUAUCAUUUAUAUAAAUUCUUUAUUAAUAUUUACCUAUAUCUAUAUUCAUAAAGGACUAAGUUUAACAUAAUCUAUUAUUUCUUUAGCAUAAAUAAUUAUGUUGUUAGUAUUUUUUAUAAUAAAAUAAUAAAUAAAAUUAAUUAAUUCAUUUAAAAUAUUACUAAAAAAAUACUAAAAUAAAAAAAAUUAAAAAAAAAACUUAUAUGUUAAUGUCCCUACAUAUGUCAGACGUGAAUUAGAUAAAAACUUAACAAAAACAAUAGUAACUUUUCGCAUAAAAAGUUAUGUGGUCCUGUUCACGCUGAAUUUAUGUCAGACCUGGUACUGGAAUCUUAUCCUUAUUUUUUCUCAUGGGUUGCAGAUUUGUGGUGAGAAUGGGACUACAGGGAUUUGUGGUGAGAAUGGGACUACUGGGAUUUCUGGUGAGAGACACUGUUCCAAAUAAAUGCUUAAAAAUAUAAAAUAGUUAGUUAUAGAUAAUUUUUUAGUUUUUCAUACAUAAAAUUAUCUCAUAUUUAGUGUAUACAUUUAGUUUUUC